UACGUAGGGUGCAAGCGUUGUCCGGAAUUAUUGGGCGUAAAGGGCGCGUAGGCGGCCAGCACAAGUCAGUUGUGAAAUCUCCGAGCUUAACUCGGAACGGUCAACUGAUACUGUGCGGCUAGAGUGCGGAAGGGGCAACUGGAAUUCUUGGUGUAGCGGUGAAAUGCGUAGAUAUCAAGAGGAACACCUGCGGCGAAGGCGGGUUGCUGGGCCGACACUGACGCUGAGGCGCGAAAGCGUGGGGAGCAAACAGG
rnacentral:rRNA from 1 species